ensembl:lncRNA
GUUGUGCAGAGACAACGGGCUGCCUCGCUAAACGAUGCACACCUGUAACUCACGUGACCCUGGUUAUUAUUGAAACGAGAACGAGGGCGUCGUGCCUUUAUAAGACUGCGUUAAUGGUUCCGUGGAGUCAUCCCUUCCGUUGUUGUUUAUUGAUUGUUAAACAUGGCUUCAUUUGCAAAGGUGGUUGUGUGUGUCCUCAUUGCUUGUGUCUGUAAUGCAUUCGGUUUUCCGAAGAGAGAUGUGAACUUUAAGGCCUCUGCAGUUGACCGCCAAAGUGAUGAUGUGGUUGUCACCACAACACCCGUUCCCCACAACCAGACCACCUCUGCCCCUACUGAAGCUGGUGGUGGUGCAAGUGAAUAUGCUGUGGCUACUACCCCAGCACCUAAUCCACACAACCAGUCAACUUCUGCACAAACUGAAGUUACUGAUGGGGCCAGUGAAGAUGCUGUGGACCGCCAAAGUGAUGAUGUGGUUGUCGCCACAACACCCAAUCCCCACAACCAGACCACAUCUGCCCCUACUGAAGCUGGUGGUGGAGCAAGUGAAGAUGCUGUGGCUACUACCCCAGCACCUAAUCCACACAACCAGACAACUUCUGCACAAACGGAAGUUACUGAUGAAGCCAGUGAAGAUGCUGUGGACCGCCAAAGUGAUGUGGUUUCCACCACAACACCCAAUCCCCACAACCAGACCACAUCUGCCCCUACUGAAGCUGAUGGAGCAAGUGAAGAUGAUUCAGAUGAUGAUGAUGCUGCAAGUGAAGAUGAUGAUUCUGCAAAUGAAGAUGAUGAUGCUGCAAGUGAAGAUGCUGUGGCUACCACCCCAACACCAAAUCCCCCAACUACAUCUCACCACACUGCAGCUACCGAUGAUGCAAGUGAGGGUGCUGUGGCUGCCUAAACUGGAACUACUGUAUCCCAUACGACUGAAGUCUGAUUCGACUGCUCCUCUGGUCACAAUAACCUGUCUGGACUUUUUGCCUCUACAUGUUGACUGCAAUAAAGGACAGAUUUUGUAUUUUUUUUAAUCAAAUGUUGUCUUGCCUUUUUCAAAUUGAGGCCUUGUCCUGUUUUGGUAGUGGAGAUGACUAUGAAGCCUCUUUUCUAACGUAUUUCCUG